rnacentral:rRNA from 1 species
CCUACGGGAGGCUGCAGUGGGGAAUAUUGCACAAUGGGGGAAACCCUGAUGCAGCGACGCCGCGUGAGUGAAGAAGUAAUUCGUUAUGUAAAGCUCUAUCAGCAGGGAAGAAAAUGACGGUACCUGAGUAAGAAGCCCCGGCUAACUACGUGCCAGCAGCCGCGGUAAUACGUAGGGGGCAAGCGUUAUCCGGAUUUACUGGGUGUAAAGGGAGCGUAGACGGCAGUGCAAGUCUGGAGUGAAAGGCGGGGGCUCAACCCCCGGACUGCUCUGGAAACUGUACGGCGGGAGGGCAGGAGAGGUAAGUGGAAGUCGUAGUGUAGCGGUGAAAUGCGUAGAUAUUAGGAGGAACACCAGUGGCGAAGGCGGCCUACUGGACGGUGACUGACGCUGAGGCUCGAAAGCGUGGGGAGCAAACAGGAUUAGAUACCCUAGUAGU